GUAGGGAAUAUUGCACAAUGGGGGAAACCCUGAUGCAGCGACGCCGCGUGAGUGAUGAAGGCCUUCGGGUCGUAAAGCUCUGUCGUAUGGGACUAACACAAUGAAGGUACCAUGCAAGAAAGGAUCGGCUAACUUCGUGCCAGCAGCCGCGGUAAGACGAGGGAUCCUAGCGUUGUUCGGUAUCAUUGGGCGUAAAGCGGGUGUAGGCGGAUUUAUAAGUCAGGUGUGAAAUCCCAGGGCUCAACCCUGGAAGUGCACUUGAUACUGUAAAUCUUGAGUGUGGUAGAGGUUACUGGAAUUGUUGGUGUAGUGGUGAAAUACGUAGAUAUCAACAGGAAUACCGGAGGCGAAGGCGAGUAACUGGGCCAACACUGACGCUGAGACCCGAAAGCGUGGGGAUCAAACAGGAUUAGAUACCCGUGUAGUCC
rnacentral:rRNA from 1 species